CGGCGGGGCGCGGGCUGGCCUCACGCGUCAGCUAAGCGCCGGGCUCCGCCGGAGAAAGCACACUGAUUGGUCCGACGCCCUGAUUGGCGGGAUGCACUGAUUGGCUGGGUGUCCGGCAGCAGGGCGGGGAGGGGCCGCUUCCGUUCAGAGUUCCCGGAGUGGCCCGGGUUGGGGCCCUAAAGCCAGUACACCUGAGCUCCCAUCCCGGGAGACUCAUGCCUCUCCUACGCGUGGCCCUGCGGACUACGGUGGCGAGGCCACUGGGCUCUGCGAUCCACGGGCCCUCACCGCGAUGGGGCCUCCGCUGUCUCUACCUUACGUAGCCCUGCCAGGCUAAAGAGCAGACCAUGCACCCCCCUCAACGUCUCACUUCAAGUCUUAGCUCUCCAGAUUGAGGCAACUGCGCCCCAGUCCUACAGUCAUGCUUCUUGUUACUUCCUGGAUCCUGAGGCUGGACAAAGUAGUUCAUCCUUGUAUUCUCUCCCCUCCAGCGCCUGCCUGUGGUACCCAUUUAGUACACACCCCUGAAGAGCAUUCACUGCUGAUCAAAACCUUUCACCCCCUAGACCACCAGUUCACUACACCCUACUGACCUAAAGAGCUGUGGUCCUGCCCACCACCCACUUGCCUUCUCUCUCACUAAGCCUAGUCUAACUGACUCCUCCAGCACUCCACUCUGGUUUCACUAUACUCUUGUGGACACAGUUUUUUGUUUUAUUUUAAAACACAGAUCAGAAGAAGAAGCUAAGCUCUUUAGCUUGGGCAUUAAAAGUCCCAUUUUAAUGAUUCCCAGUACAGGUGAGUCUGAGACAGGAGAAUCACAAGUUUGAAGACACCCUGUGCUACAGAAGGACUCCCAGUCUCAAAACAAAACACCCAACUCCAUAUUUCCUUUUUCCUUUCAUUUAUUCCAGCCACAGCAUGCUAUGUUAAGCUUUUAACAUUAUAAAGAGGUCAGGAGCCUAUACCUACUCAUGCUACCAACUUCAUUACAGUCCCUAUAGGUUGGCUAUAAAAUGUCUAUUGAGUAUUUGGAGCAAAAAACUCAAGUACUUUGAGGAAUUAAAAAGGAGAAAGAGAAUCCUAGUUGCUCACAUUUCAGCAUCUCCUGUCAAAAUUAACACCACAACUUUUUUCUUUACAAAAAAUGGUUAUGGAAUUUCACCACUGUAGACCAUUAUUAAGAGAUUUGCAAAAGGUAAAAUAACCCAUGUCUGUGAUCCUAGAAUUCAGCAGCUUAGGCAGAAGGAUUGCCAUGAGUUCAAGCCAGCCUGGACUACAGAGUAAAAUCCUGUCUGUAAUCCAGGUCAGCCAAGACUAUAGACUGAGACCCCAUCUCAAGGAAAAUGACCAAUUUGUGCGACUAGAACUACCUGCUCAGUACUUUGCCUUUUCCAGUGGAAGGGCAAGACAGCAUCUACAGAAGACCACUGCAACUAUGCCUGAAACACUGUUCCCGCCGAGAGCACUUCAGGUCGUCUGCUGUGGCCUUGGAAAGUAGCUCUCCCAAAGCACAGAGUGCAUUCUAGAAGAUCGUGCAGACAUCUCAGAGUGACUUUCACUGGCCUGGAACAUGCCAAGAAGGCUAGACUCAUUGGCGAUAAAGGCUUUACCACCUCAGACCUAGGCAAGCAAGUCCAUGUCACCACAGCUGCAUAUGAGUUAUGGCCAUCUAUCUCAGUUCUUACUGCUUGGCAGAACUUUACUGGAGGAUCGGUGGACAGAUCAGUGAAAUGGCUAAGUAGUUUGAAAAGGCGCUUGCUGAAAGCCUCAGGGCCUGAGUUAGAUUUCUGGGACCAACUUAGAAGAAGGAGAGAACUAAUCUCCUCCAGUUGUCCUGUGAUCUCCGCCACAAGCAUGCUGCAGCAGAUGUGCAACACCCCCAACACCAAAUAAAUGUAAAACUGUUUCAAUAAAGGACCCAUC